CUCUCUCUCUCUCUCUCUCUCUCUCUCUCUCUCUCUCUCUCUCUCUCUCUCUCUCUCUCUCUCUCUCUCUCUCUCUCUCUCUCUCUCUCUCUCUCUCUCUCCCACUUUCCCAAGAGUCUAGCCAUCUACAAGCGGUUAACCAUGGCCAGCAAGAUCGGACUCUGUGACUCGACUCGUUCUCCAACUCGUUCCAGGGGAUCUCGAGCCUCUCGUCAUCGUCGUUGAAGACCUCAAUGUGCAGCAACAGAUUCAUUUCAUCCAGUCGUCGUCCAGGCUCCACUAGUUUGGGCUGAAUGACAAGGCUCACCGAUGAAGGACGGCGGGAACAAGGCCUAUUCUGGCUAUUGAGAUCGGAGCUUUUUGGGUCUGAUUUCAAUUCUUUUUCUGCUCCUGUAGGUGGCGUUACCAAUAUGGAUGACGGGAACAUUCCGGGCCCAACUACCCAAACCUUAGUGCUCCCAAUUCUUCUACCAUGGACGGCGUAGCUGGCCUGGGCUACUUCAAUUUGGCCAAGGAGGAGAUCGCCAAGACUGUUAGGGCUGAAGAAUGGGGCUUAAGAUCGGCGUCGACAACACAAUGAAACCGCUCGGAUUCUAGUUGAGUUCUUGGAGGUGGCAAUCACAUCAAUUGUUUUCCUCAAAGGAAUUUAUCCUACAGGUUUGUUUUAAUCUCAUUCAAUCACAAAGCCCAGUUCUUGUUUGUGGUUUCUGGGAAAAUUUUUGGUAUUGGGUUUGUGUUCUUUUUUUCCCAUUAUUUGGGGAACCUAGAAAGGAAAACCAUAAAAGCCCAUGUGUAUGAGGGGUUUAAUGUUGGAAAUUGCUUUGUUUUUGGAUUGAAGUUGCUUUUGAGAGAAGGAAGUAUAUUAAUUUGGUUGUUCAUAGAGCUCAGCACCCUGAGCUCAGAGAUUAUAUCCAUUAUGCUAUCUCAGGACUUCUUCCUUUUAUGAAAAAGGUGAGUACUUUGGGAACAAAUUACUUUACUUUUGUUUUUUUCGUAAUAUAUUGUCUUUUGUAAUGAGAUGUUUGGAUGAAUUAGCCGAUUCAUGUAAUGCUACUAGUCAGUGGUUGAGUUUUGGAAUAGACUACUGACCUGUUUGUUGAAAUUGUUACAUUGUUAUACAUUUAGGCUAACACUGGUAUCAAGUGGAAGUCAUUGUCUCACCUUAAUUAUACGGCAUCUUUUAUUUCUAUAAUGAUCACUAUCAUCAUAUAUGUGUCUUUUGUAGUCAAAAUAUGUUUUAAAUUCUUGAACAUCAACGUCGGUGAGUUCCAUUUUUUUGUUGGCCCUAAUUUCCUUUUAGCUAUCCCAGUCUUAAGUUAUUCUGUUUCAUUAUAUAAUAUAAUAUUAAUUGUAGUUUUGGUGAAUCCACUAUUUCUUGUGUGGACUCGGCUUCUCUGCUAGAAUAUGACUUGCUAUAUUUUGUUUGAAUUUUACUCACAGCUGUCAGAUAUAGAUUUAAGGGCAAGAUGAUGCCACAUCAAGAAACAUCAAGAAGUCACUUCAAGUCAAAGGUGUAGCUACACACGGGCUCCGCUGGGCUACAGCCCACCCCUGAAAAAACUAUAAUUUUAGUUUAAAAAAUUAAAUAUUAAAAAGUAGCCCACUUCAAAUUUCUAAAGUUAGCCCAUAUGUUAAUUUUUUUGGGUCAUAUCUAUGUUAUUUCUUUGCUUGAAGUAUUUGAUUGUGUUUUAUUUUCUAUUUUACUUUAAGAGACAUAUUCGCAUAAAAAUCUUGCUUUUUGUAGGUAAAUAAGGUCAGAAUAAGAGUUGGCUGAGAAUUAUGAUACAAAUUCAAUAAUUAAAUAUUUUUGGUUUUAUUCAAGAGCACAAGAUAAAGUUUGAGUAGAUAUGUUAUUUUGUCUUAGACUUUUGUUACCGAAUUUCUAUCAAAUGUUAUAAUGUUGAUUUUUUUUGAAUCAGUUAGCUAUUUGAUUAUUUAAUAUGUAAUUAAUAUAUGAUGUAGUUUAAUUUAAGGAAAGAAUAAAACAUGUUACUAGUAAAACUUAGGAAAAAAAAAUAAUUUAAAGCAUUAGUAAAAUUUUAUUAAUUUUUUUUUUAGCCCAUCCUAUUUUAAAAUCCUAGCUCCGCCAUUGCUUCAAGUUCAUCCCUUGCAGUUUUUUUUUCUAGCAAAUUAUAGUUCUAGCUGAGAAGCCAAAUCCUUCUUGUGUAGGGAAUUGCAACAGUUGGAAAUUCAUUAUUUUUUUUGCGCAGUCGGUUGGGAGACAGUUUGCUUGUGCAGUUUACUAGUGGAGUAGGGGCCUCGAUGUUGUCAGCUGGUUUGAAAGAUGAGGAGAUAUUGAAGGUGAUGCCCCAUCAGCUAAGCGAUUGUGAAUGUCAUCUUCUGAUGCAUUGCAAGAUAUGAUUAGUGGUGAGGAGCUCUCUUUAUAUGGGUCAGCUCAAAACAAUGCAGAAUCAUCUCAGGUUGUUCACUUUUCGAAGAAUGCAUUUCCUGUUAAUGUUUUAAUCUGCUUGAUUUGUUCCAUACGGGGAAUUUUUAAUGAAAAAAACAUUGAAAGGAUCUUUGCCAUUG